GACGACGCUGGCGGCGUGCCUAACACAUGCAAGUCGAGCGGGUUAUGGAGUAGCUUGCUACGAAGUAGCCUAGCGGCGACGGGUGAGUAACGCGUGAGCAAUCUGCCUCAUACAGGGGGAUAACAGGUGGAAACACUUGCUAAUACCGCAUAAGACCACAGUACCGCAUGGUACAGGGGUCAAAGGAGUAAAAUCCGGUAUGAGAUGAGCUCGCGUCCCAUUAGCUAGUUGGCGGGUAACGGCCCACCAAGGCGACGAUGGGUAGCCGACCUGAGAGGGUGAUCGGCCACACUGGGACUGAGACACGGCCCAGACUCCUACGGGAGGCAGCAGUGGGGAAUAUUGCGCAAUGGGGGAACCCUGACGCAGCAACGCCGCGUGAGUGAAGAAGGUCUUCGGAUCGUAAAACUCUGUCAUAGGGGAAGAAGGUAGUGACGGUACCCUAUGAGGAAGCCCCGGCUAACUACGUG
rnacentral:rRNA from 1 species